AGAGUUUGAUCCUGGCUCAGAGCGAACGCUGGCGGCAGGCUUAACACAUGCAAGUCGAGCGGGCGUAGCAAUACGUCAGCGGCAGACGGGUGAGUAACGCGUGGGAACAUACCUUUUGGUUCGGAACAACACAGGGAAACUGCUGCUAAUACCGUAUACGACCUUCGGGUGAAAGAUUUAUCGCCCCUAGAUGGGCCCGCGUUGGAUUAGCUAGUUGGUGGGAUAAAAGCCUACCAAGGCGACUAUCCAUAGCUGGUCUGAGAGGAUGAUCAGCCACACUGGGACUGACACACGUCCCAGACUCCUACGGGAGGCAGCAGUAGGGAAUCUUGCACACUGUGCGAAAGCCUGAUCCAGCCAUGCCGCGUGAGUGAUGAUGGCGUUAUGGUCGUACAGCUCUUUCGCCAGGGAGGAUACUGACCGUACCUGGUUAGGAGCCCCGGCAAACUUCGUUGCAGCAGCCGCGGUUAUUC
rnacentral:rRNA from 2 species